GUGAGGAAUUUUCCGCAAUGGGCGAAAGCCUGACGGAGCAAUGCCGCGUGAAGGAUGAAGGCCUAUGGGUUGUAAACUUCUUUUCUUAGAGAAGAAUAUUGACGGUAUCUGAGGAAUAAGCAUCGGCUAACUCUGUGCCAGCAGCCGCGGUAAGACAGAGGAUGCAAGCGUUAUCCGGAAUGAUUGGGCGUAAAGCGUCUGUAGGUGGCUUCAAAAGUCUCCUGUCAAAUAUCAGGGCUUAACCCUGGGCCGGCAGGAGAAACUCUGAGGCUAGAGUUUGGUAGGGGCAGAGGGAAUUCCCGGUGGAGCGGUGAAAUGCGUAGAGAUCGGGAGGAACACCAAAGGCGAAAGCACUCUGCUGGGCCACAACUGACACUGAGAGACGAAAGCGAGGGGAGCAGAAGGGAUUAGAAACCCCGGUAGUCC
rnacentral:rRNA from 1 species